UACGUAGGGUGCAAGCGUUGUCCGGAAUUAUUGGGCGUAAAGAGCUCGUAGGCGGCUCGUCGCGUCGGCUGUGAAAACCCGGGGCUCAACCCCGGGCCUGCAGUCGAUACGGGCGGGCUAGAGUCCGGUAGGGGAGACUGGAAUUCCUGGUGUAGCGGUGAAAUGCGCAGAUAUCAGGAGGAACACCGGUGGCGAAGGCGGGUCUCUGGGCCGGAACUGACGCUAAGGAGCGAAAGCGUGGGGAGCAAACAGG
rnacentral:rRNA from 1 species